UACGUAGGGUGCGAGCGUUGUCCGGAAUUAUUGGGCGUAAAGAGCUCGUAGGCGGUCUGUCGCGUCGGUCGUGAAAACUUGGGGCUUAACCCUGAGCUUGCGGUCGAUACGGGCAUGACUGGAGUUCGGUAGGGGGAGACUUGGAAUCCUGGUGUAGCGGUGAAAUGCGCAGAUAUCAGGAGGAACACCGGUGGCGAAGGCGGGUCUCUGGGCCGAUACUGACGCUGAGGAGCGAAAGCGUGGGGGAGCGAACAGG
rnacentral:rRNA from 1 species